GGGAUUGUGGCUCAGGGGUAGAGCGCUUGCCUGGCACACAUGAAGCACUGGGUUCCAUCCCCAGCACCA
rnacentral:tRNA from 1 species